UACGAAGGGGGCUAGCGUUGCUCGGAAUCACUGGGCGUAAAGGGUGCGUAGGCGGGUCUUUAAGUCAGGGGUGAAAUCCUGGAGCUCAACUCCAGAACUGCCUUUGAUACUGAGGAUCUUGAGUUCGGGAGAGGUGAGUGGAACUGCGAGUGUAGAGGUGAAAAUUCGUAGAUAUUCGCAAGAACACCAGUGGCGAAGGCG
rnacentral:rRNA from 1 species